rnacentral:rRNA from 1 species
CCUACGGGAGGCAGCAGUGGGGAAUCUUCCACAAUGGACGCAAGUCUGAUGGAGCGACGCCGCGUGGGGGAAGAAGGCCUUCGGGUUGUAAACUCCUUUUCUGGGGGACGAAUUAGGUAGGCAGGUAAUGGUCUACCGAUGACGGUACCCCAGGAACAAGCACCGGCUAACUUCGUGCCAGCAGCCGCGGUAAAACGAAGGGUGCAAGCGUUAUCCGGAAUCACUGGGCGUAAAGGGCGUCUAGGCGGCCGGUUAAGUCGACGGUGAAACUCCUCGGCCCAACUGAGGAUGGUCCGUCGAAACUGACCGGCUUGAGGGACGCAGAGGGGGGCGGAACUCUCGGAGUAGCGGUGGAAUGCGUAGAUACCGAGAGGUAUCUCGAUGGCGAAAGCAGCCCCCUGGGCGUACCCUGACGCUGAAGCGCUAAGGCCAGGGGAGCCAAGGGGAUUAGAUACCCCCGUAGUCCUGGCUGCAAACGAUGUGGGCUAGGUAUCGGGCCA